AUUGAACGCUGGCGGCAGGCUUAACACAUGCAAGUCGAGCGGAUGAAGGGAGCUUGCUCCUGGAUUCAGCGGCGGACGGGUGAGUAAUGCCGAGGAAUCCGCCUGGCAGUGGGGGAUAACGUCCGGAAACGGGCGCUAAUACCGCAUACGUCCUGAGGGAGAAAGGGGGGGAGCUUCGGACCUCACGCUAUCAGAUGAGCCUAGGUCGGAUUAGCUAGUUGGUGGGGUAAAGGCCUACCAAGGCGACGAUCCGUAACUGGUCUGAGAGGAUGAUCAGUCACACUGGAACUGAGACACGGUCCAGACUCCUACGGGAGGCAGCAGUGGGGAAUAUUGGACAAUGGGCGCAAGCCUGAUCCAGCCAUGCCGCGUGUGUGAAGAAGGUCUUCGGAUUGUAAAGCACUUUAAGUUGGGAGGAAAGGCAGUUAGUUAAUACCUUGCUGUUUUGACGUUACCAAAAGAAUAAGCACCGGCUAACUUCGUG
rnacentral:rRNA from 1 species